rnacentral:lncRNA from 1 species
UAACUAACAACAAAGGCAUUACACGGUGUAUGCCCUGCAUUUUCUGCAGACUAUUCCUUGCCUUUUUUCAUAUGCAAAGCAUGCAUCAGCCACAUCCAUGCUAUCUCCUAAAGCAGUCAUUCUGAAACCCAAUCUGGGGACAGUGCAGACUAAAUAAAAUUUCAUUUUGAUUUGGCCUCCCGCUGAGAAUGGGACUGCUUUGUUUCAGCCGACAGAACCAGCAAGCCAGAAAGGUGUUGAAUACACAAAUACUGACUUAACAGAAAAUUAUAUAAAAAGAAGCAAAAUUGUUGGGGUGCAUACGAUUUCAAAAUAUUACUUCAUAAUGAGCAUAAAACACAGCUUAAAGCACAUAUUAUGGGUCCAGAAGAACACAUCUUUCAGUCUUCAAGAAGUAUUUAAACUACUCUGGCAGAUGAAGAUACAAGCAGGAAACAGCAACAGCUGUCAGUGCCUGAAAGGAAAAAAAAUGCAGUUCUCCAGAUGA